AAGCACUUAGGAAAGAUUCUUCGGAUGAUUUCCUAUUUGACUGAGCGGCGGACGGGUGAGUAACGCGUGGGUAACCUGCCUCAUACAGGGGGAUAACAGUUAGAAAUGACUGCUAAUACCGCAUAAGACCACAGCACCGCAUGGUGCAGGGGUAAAAACUCCGGUGGUAUGAGAUGGACCCGCGUCUGAUUAGUUAGUUGGUGGGGUAACGGCCCACCAAGCCUUCGAUGGAUAGGGGUUCUGAGAGGAAGGUCCCCACAUUGGAACUGAGACACGGUCCAAACUCC
rnacentral:rRNA from 1 species